AUUUCGAUUUCGAUUCGGUGGAAAGAAGAAAGAUUAAAGCUGGUAAAACCUCUUUCUCUCUAUUUCUUUCUCUCCCUCGCUCUCAUAAGUCACACACAAUUAUUUUUUGGCCUUAUUUAUGUUUUUUUCCAAAAGAUAUGUUUUUUUGGCCUUAUUUAUGCUUUCCGGUGAGGAAAUAAUUAUGAGGGCUUGAUGCUGAACAACUAAGGUUGGUUUUUUUGGGACUUCUAUAUCACAUUUCGAAGGUUUGAUCUGUAGUGAAGAAUCUUUUUAUAUAUUGAUUGUUAUAUGGAUUUUGCCAGGGUAGAAAGAUAGUAAAUGAGUCUUGUGUGUGUAUAUUUAUAGUUAAUAGGUGAAAUGUGCUUGUUGUAUUUUUAUCAUCUAAAGAAGAUGUGGAUUUGGACAACAUGAAAUGUGUUCCUAUGCUUAGUUUUAUCACUUUUCCUUGCGAAAUUACGUGUUAUCAAAUUAUAUGUAUAACUUCUGAUGAUUUGAUUUUAUAUGAUAGGUUCCUUAAGGCAAAAGAGACAUUAAUAUUUUGAUAUCAAUUUGGAAAUGCUGCAAAUUUUGGGCCUGCUUGCACAAGUCGUAAACUAACUGCUCAAGGAAAUUGUAAUUUAUAUAUAUGUUUAUAAAUUACAGGUUGAAGUAUGGUUUGUUUCAUUUAUGCUAUAACUCUAAUUUCAGGUUGAAGUAUGGUUUGUUUCAUUUAUCGUAAUUUAUACUACUUUCGAGUUGAAGCAAGGUUUAGUUCCUUUAUUCGAACAAGAAUAUCGUGAUUGAAUCCGUCCAAGAUAGUGUUGAUUGCUCCAAGAAUCUACACAGUCAAGCACUACCAAGCACUACAGGUAACAUUUUAUAGACUUUUUCUAUGUAGGUCUGAAUUUAUGUUUGAUAUAUAUAUUGACAUUUUUAUGUGCUUUUAAUCGAAGAGCCUGUUA
rnacentral:lncRNA from 1 species